rnacentral:rRNA from 1 species
AGCGUACACGGUGGAUGCCCUGGCAGUCAGAGGCGAUGAAGGACGUGCUAAUCUGCGAUAAGCGUCGGUAAGGUGAUAUGAACCGUUAUAACCGGCGAUUUCCGAAUGGGGAAACCCAGUGUGUUUCGACACACUAUCAUUAACUGAAUCCAUAGGUUAAUGAGGCGAACCGGGGGAACUGAAACAUCUAAGUACCCCGAGGAAAAGAAAUCAACCGAGAUUCCCCCAGUAGCGGCGAGCGAACGGGGAGGAGCCCAGAGCCUGAAUCAGUGUGUGUGUUAGUGGAAGCGUCUGGAAAGGCGCGCGAUACAGGGUGACAGCCCCGUACACAAAAAUGCACAUGCUGUGAGCUCGAUGAGUAGGGCGGGACACGUGGUAUCCUGUCUGAAUAUGGGGGGACCAUCCUCCAAGGCUAAAUACUCCUGACUGACCGAUAGUGAACCAGUACCGUGAGGGAAAGGCGAAAAGAACCCCGGCGAGGGGAGUGAAAAAGAACCUGAAACCGUGUACGUACAAGCAGUGGGAGCACGCUUAGGCGUGUGACUGCGUACCUUUUGUAUAAUGGGUCAGCGACUUAUAUUCUGUAGCAAGGUUAACCGAAUAGGGGAGCCGAAGGGAAACCGAGUCUUAACUGGGCGUUAAGUUGCAGGGUAUAGACCCGAAACCCGGUGAUCUAGCCAUGGGCAGGUUGAAGGUUGGGUAACACUAACUGGAGGACCGAACCGACUAAUGUUGAAAAAUUAGCGGAUGACUUGUGGCUGGGGGUGAAAGGCCAAUCAAACCGGGAGAUAGCUGGUUCUCCCCGAAAGCUAUUUAGGUAGCGCCUCGUGAAUUCAUCUCCGGGGGUAGAGCACUGUUUCGGCAAGGGGGUCAUCCCGACUUACCAACCCGAUGCAAACUGCGAAUACCGGAGAAUGUUAUCACGGGAGACACACGGCGGGUGCUAACGUCCGUCGUGAAGAGGGAAACAACCCAGACCGCCAGCUAAGGUCCCAAAGUCAUGGUUAAGUGGGAAACGAUGUGGGAAGGCCCAGACAGCCAGGAUGUUGGCUUAGAAGCAGCCAUCAUUUAAAGAAAGCGUAAUAGCUCACUGGUCGAGUCGGCCUGCGCGGAAGAUGUAACGGGGCUAAACCAUGCACCGAAGCUGCGGCAGCGACGCUGAUGCGUUGUUGGGUAGGGGAGCGUUCUGUAAGCCUGUGAAGGUGUGCUGUGAGGCAUGCUGGAGGUAUCAGAAGUGCGAAUGCUGACAUAAGUAACGAUAAAGCGGGUGAAAAGCCCGCUCGCCGGAAGACCAAGGGUUCCUGUCCAACGUUAAUCGGGGCAGGGUGAGUCGACCCCUAAGGCGAGGCCGAAAGGCGUAGUCGAUGGGAAACAGGUUAAUAUUCCUGUACUUGGUGUUACUGCGAAGGGGGGACGGAGAAGGCUAUGUUGGCCGGGCGACGGUUGUCCCGGUUUAAGCGUGUAGGCUGGUUUUCCAGGCAAAUCCGGAAAAUCAAGGCUGAGGCGUGAUGACGAGGCACUACGGUGCUGAAGCAACAAAUGCCCUGCUUCCAGGAAAAGCCUCUAAGCAUCAGGUAACAUCAAAUCGUACCCCAAACCGACACAGGUGGUCAGGUAGAGAAUACCAAGGCGCUUGAGAGAACUCGGGUGAAGGAACUAGGCAAAAUGGUGCCGUAACUUCGGGAGAAGGCACGCUGAUAUGUAGGUGAAGUCCCUCGCGGAUGGAGCUGAAAUCAGUCGAAGAUACCAGCUGGCUGCAACUGUUUAUUAAAAACACAGCACUGUGCAAACACGAAAGUGGACGUAUACGGUGUGACGCCUGCCCGGUGCCGGAAGGUUAAUUGAUGGGGUCAGCGCAAGCGAAGCUCUUGAUCGAAGCCCCGGUAAACGGCGGCCGUAACUAUAACGGUCCUAAGGUAGCGAAAUUCCUUGUCGGGUAAGUUCCGACCUGCACGAAUGGCGUAAUGAUGGCCAGGCUGUCUCCACCCGAGACUCAGUGAAAUUGAACUCGCUGUGAAGAUGCAGUGUACCCGCGGCAAGACGGAAAGACCCCGUGAACCUUUACUAUAGCUUGACACUGAACAUUGAGCCUUGAUGUGUAGGAUAGGUGGGAGGCUUAGAAGUGUGGACGCCAGUCUGCAUGGAGCCGACCUUGAAAUACCACCCUUUAAUGUUUGAUGUUCUAACGUUGACCCGUAAUCCGGGUUGCGGACAGUGUCUGGUGGGUAGUUUGACUGGGGCGGUCUCCUCCUAAAGAGUAACGGAGGAGCACGAAGGUUGGCUAAUCCUGGUCGGACAUCAGGAGGUUAGUGCAAUGGCAUAAGCCAGCUUGACUGCGAGCGUGACGGCGCGAGCAGGUGCGAAAGCAGGUCAUAGUGAUCCGGUGGUUCUGAAUGGAAGGGCCAUCGCUCAACGGAUAAAAGGUACUCCGGGGAUAACAGGCUGAUACCGCCCAAGAGUUCAUAUCGACGGCGGUGUUUGGCACCUCGAUGUCGGCUCAUCACAUCCUGGGGCUGAAGUAGGUCCCAAGGGUAUGGCUGUUCGCCAUUUAAAGUGGUACGCGAGCUGGGUUUAGAACGUCGUGAGACAGUUCGGUCCCUAUCUGCCGUGGGCGCUGGAGAACUGAGGGGGGCUGCUCCUAGUACGAGAGGACCGGAGUGGACGCAUCACUGGUGUUCGGGUUGUCAUGCCAAUGGCACUGCCCGGUAGCUAAAUGCGGAAGAGAUAAGUGCUGAAAGCAUCUAAGCACGAAACUUGCCCCGAGAUGAGUUCUCCCUGACUCCUUGA